rnacentral:lncRNA from 1 species
AUGAGGUGUGGGGGGAGCCUGGUGCAGCCCUGCCCCAUCUGCUCAGCACCCCCUGCCCCUGGCCAGGACCACGCAGCUGGGGCAGGAUUCUGCAGGGCUGCGGGUGGGCUCUGUCCCUCCGUGUCACAUCCCCUGGUGGCAUCGGGGAGCAGGCUCCAUCCCCUCCAUGCAAGGCAGAGGGACCAUGUCCUGUGUACCUUGUCCCUUCCAUCCCACCAACAGCCUCAGCUCCCCCCUGUCUCCGUGCUGCCCCCCAGCUGCAGCCCCCCCGUGCCCCCCAGCCCCCAGUGUCGCUGUGUGCGUGUCCCGGUGUCGGUGUUGGAGUGCCCGUGGUGUCCGUGGCGUGCCGUCGGUGUGAACACGAAACAAAGCAACCCCCGUGGUGUGUGCAAACGGCCGUACCCCGGCUGCUGUGAGAUAACCCCAGCUCCCCUCCUGCCCCCUGAGCCGGGGGGAGCGCCUGCUGCUGCAGGAAGGGGACGGGCGUGUUGGCUGCCGUCAGUCGGGGGGGCGAGGAAUAAAACUUGGUUUCUACCCGUGCCUGGCUGCGUGGUCUGCAGGGGGGGGAACGGGGCAGCUCUGGGGUGCGAGGGGCUGGGAAAUGGGGCGCAGGGGGGUGGCGCUUGGGUUUCCUGCGGGUUUGGGCCAGCAGCCACAUGGCAGUGUGGGGAGAAGGGCCGGGAGCAGCUCUGCCCGACCCCAUGGGGAAGGAGCCAGGCACGGAGAGCUGGGUCCCUUCCCACGCCGUCCCCCGGUGCCGCCAGCCUGGCUCCGGGGUGGGGGCAGUGGCACCAACCCCCCCUGGGCAGCACAGACGGGGCUUUGUGCUCGGGGCUGUCCUGGCCCCCUCGGUGCCGUGCUCUGUUCUGCAGCCUGCAGCUUGGAACAAUGGCCAGAGGCUGGGCGAAGGCAGCGCGUGAGCAGCGAGCCAGCCCCGAGGGGCGCGGGCACAGAGCGCCCUUGUCCUGCCUGCUGGGCACUUCCCCCCGGGGGGGGCUCUGA